GGCCGCCUGGCGUAAUGGCAACGCGUCUGACUACGACAUGCCUAUUGGUAGUGGUUAAUCAGGAGAUUGCAGGUUCGACCCCUGCGGUGGUCA